CAAGUGACCCCGGUCUAACCACCGGGAUGUUCAUAACCCUUUGUUGCCCGACUCUGUUGCCUCCGGGGCGACCCUGCCUUCGGGCGGGGGCUCCGGGUGGACACUUCAAACUCUUGCGUAACUUUGCAGUCUGAGUAAACUUAAUUAAUAAAUUA
rnacentral:misc_RNA from 1 species